AGUGAACGCUGGCGGUAGGCCUAACACAUGCAAGUCGAACGGCAGCACAGUAAGAGCUUGCUCUUACGGGUGGCGAGUGGCGGACGGGGGAGGAAUACAUCGGAAUCUACUUUUUCGUGGGGGAUAACGUAGGGAAACUUACGCUAAUACCGCAUACGACCUACGGGUGAAAGCAGGGGAUCUUCGGACCUUGCGCGAUUGAAUGAGCCGAUGUCGGAUUAGCUAGUUGGCGGGGGAAAGGCCCACCAAGGCGACGAUCCGUAGCUGGUCUGAGAGGAUGAUCAGCCACACUGGACCUGAGACACGGUCCAGACUCCUACGGGAGGCAGCAGUGGGGAAUAUUGGCCAAUGGGCGCAAGCCUGAUCCAGCCAUACCGCGUGGGUGAAGAAGGCCUUCGGGUUGUAAAGCCCUUUUGUUGGGAAAGAAAAGCAGCAGGUUAAUACCCCGCUGUUCUGACGGUACCCAAAGAAUAAGCACCGGCUAACUUCGUG
rnacentral:rRNA from 1 species